ACAAACUUGGUCAUUUAGAGGAAGUAAAAGUCGUAACAAGGUCUCCGUUGGUGAACCAGCGGAGGGAUCAUUACUGAGUUUUUACACUCUACACCCUGCGAACCCUACCUUUCAGUAGCUUCGGCGGCCGGCCCCCGGGGGGGCGCCAUACGGCCGCCGAAAGCAACUAAAACUCUUCUGAACAAAAGUCUUCUGAGUGGACUACAAAAACAAGUCAAAACCUUCAACAACGGAUCUCUUGGUUCUGGCAUCGAUGAAGAACGCAGC
rnacentral:misc_RNA from 1 species